rnacentral:rRNA from 1 species
GAUGAACGCUGGCGGCGUGCUUAACACAUGCAAGUCGAGCGAAGCACUUUACUUGGAUUUCUUCGGAAUGACGAGUAUUGUGACUGAGCGGCGGACGGGUGAGUAACGCGUGGGUAACCUGCCUCAUACAGGGGGAUAACAGUUAGAAAUGACUGCUAAUACCGCAUAAGACCACAGCACCGCAUGGUGCAGGGGUAAAAACUCCGGUGGUAUGAGAUGGACCCGCGUCUGAUUAGCUGGUUGGUGGGGUAACGGCCUACCAAGGCAACGAUCAGUAGCCGGCCUGAGAGGGCGACCGGCCACAUUGGGACUGAGACACGGCCCAAACUCCUACGGGAGGCAGCAGUGGGGAAUAUUGCACAAUGGGGGAAACCCUGAUGCAGCGACGCCGCGUGAAGGAAGAAGUAUUUCGGUAUGUAAACUUCUAUCAGCAGGGAAGAAAAUGACGGUACCUGACUAAGAAGCCCCGGCUAACUACGUGCCAGCCGCCGCCGUAA